AAGUUUAGAUUGAACCAUAGGCGAAAGCCAGUGGUUCUUCUUUCAUAUCCAUAACACCUGUGCACUGUUGGAUGCUUGCAUCCACUUUUAUACUAAACAUUAUUGUAACAAAUGUAGUCUUAUUAUAACUAAUAAAACUUUUAACAACGGAUCUCUUGGCUCU
rnacentral:misc_RNA from 1 species